rnacentral:lncRNA from 1 species
AUGUGGCGCAGCAAGGUGCGCCGCUGCCCCACCGGCAGGUCCCACGGGUCCCGGGGCAUGCCCGGCUGGCCGCACACCGCCCGCAGGGUGCGGUUCCGGACGUCCUGCCUCACCUGCCAGUCCGAGUCCCCGGGCUCCAGGGGCAGCGGCCCGGGCCUGGGGAGGGCCCGGCGCCAGGCCGCGGCCUCGCGGCUGGGGGGGUGCAGGGGGAGCGGCUUCACCUCGGCCAGGAUGCCCCUCUCGAUCAUGAGCAGCAGCCCGCUGGAGGCCACGAUCACCGCGAACAUCAGCAUGGACGGCAGCAGCAGCGGCGGCGCCCCCAGCCCGGCGCGGGCCCUGCCCAGCGGGGCCCGCCUCAGCGCGCGGCCCAGGGGCUCGGCGCCAUUUGGGGCCGCCAGGGGGGCCAGCGGGCGGGGGAACAUGGUGCUCCCGGGGCGGGGGCCUGCGCCGGCCCUGCCGACCUGCGGGCCGCCCGGGAGGCGGGCCCCGUGCUGGGGGCGGGGGCGGGGGCGGGGGGCUGGGGCCCGCAGCGGCGGGGACGGCCCCGGGGAGGGGGGCGGGAGGCGGGAGGCCCCGGCGCGCGCGGAGGCGGCCAGCUCCCGGGCUGCGGCGCCGGAGCGGGCGGGCGGCGGGCGGCGGGCGGGCGGCGGGCGGCGGGCGGCGAGGGACGGUGGCCGGAUGUCCCGCCCGGCGCUCCCCGCCCCCGGCCCCGCCGUGACACAGGCGCGGGGGCGGGCCCAGGCCGGGGGCGGGGAGAGAGGCCGGCGCCCCUGCCCCGGGCGGGCGAGGGAGGGCGCGUGCGGACCCCCCCGGGAGAGGGCGCCGGAGCGAGGGCCGCCCUGGUGCUCCGGGCCGCGGAGACAAAAGCUGCCGAGGCCCGGAAGGCGGGGGGCGCGUGCCCUCGGGGAGUCGGACGCGGGACCUGCGCUCUGGCCUGAGACCUUCCUCCAGCCGCGGGUCCGCAGGCUGAGGGCCCCGCAGCGCGGCGCCGAGUCCAGGCUUUCGGGGAAGCCUUCCUUGCCCCUCGCAGGAAGCGGAGUCCCCAGUGUGCGCCCCCGGCCACUCCCGUCGAGAGGAGCGAGGCUGUCAAGCAUUGACCAGUGGCUCAUCUCCAUGGUGACCGUUGGGUUUAGCAGUACCUGCCGGAUGCCCUGUUGGUCGGCUGGGUAA